UGCAAAGGAACGAAGGUUAAAAACGCCACGUCCUACUCCUGCGGUAACUCUUCGCAAAAAAAAUUGUGGCAACACCUUUAUGACCCACUUCAUGAGGG
rnacentral:sRNA from 1 species